CCUACGGGAGGCAGCAGUGGGGAAUUUUGGACAAUGGGCGCAAGCCUGAUCCAGCAAUGCCGCGUGCAGGAUGAAGGCCUUCGGGUUGUAAACUGCUUUUGUACGGAACGAAACGGUGAGCUCUAAUACAGUUUGCUAAUGACGGUACCGUAAGAAUAAGCACCGGCUAACUACGUGCCAGCAGCCGCGGUAAUACGUAGGGUGCGAGCGUUAAUCGGAAUUACUGGGCGUAAAGCGUGCGCAGGCGGUGAUGUAAGACAGAUGUGAAAUGCCCGGGCUCAACCUGGGACCUGCAUUUGUGACUGCAUCGCUAGAGUACGGUAGAGGGGGAUGGAAUUCCGCGUGUAGCAGUGAAAUGCGUAGAUAUGCGGAGGAACACCGAUGGCGAAGGCAAUCCCCUGGACCUGUACUGACGCUCAUGCACGAAAGCGUGGGGAGCAAACAGGAUUAGAUACCCUGGUAGUCCACGCCCUAAACGAUGUCAACUGGUUGUUGGGUCUUCACUGACUCAGUAACGAAGCUAACGCGUGAAGUUGACCGCCUGGGGAGUCGGCCGCGAGGUUGAACCCAAGAUAGUAGCGNGAGAGNGCGACGACGACGACGAGGAGGGAGG
rnacentral:rRNA from 1 species